CUUUAUGUUUUCUUAAAGUGUUUGCUUUCAAGAUCAAGAUGGGGUCAUAGAAAAAAACAAGUAGAGCAAAGUGUUUUAUGCACCAUGUUAAGUGGAUGAGCUCCAUCAAUACAAAUACACCGUCCACACACACACAUUUACUCUAAAGGCUCAUUUGCAUAUUGUAGAUACCUUCACUGUAACCAUAGAGACGUUACAUCAUGAUGGAACAUUUCUCAAUGUUCCAUGUUCUAUGCUCCGUUCACCACAGCAUAAGAAACACAGUCUGUUGCACAUCCAGUCAGUCAGUUUCAAACCUCGCAUCUACACACUGAAGUUUUCCGGACCUACACUUGCAGAAAGCAACCAUGUAAUGCCUCAGGAGUCUGUAGAGGGGACGAAGACGCGUUCUGCUGCACUUAACAGAGCUCAAGACCAACAGGACGCAAUCAGGACGCCACGUCAUCGGGACGCUACGUCAACGGGACGCCAUCAGGAUGCCAUCAGGACGCCAUCAGGACGCCCUCAGGACGCCAUCAGGACGCCACGUCAACGGGACGCCAUCAGGACGUCACGUCUACCCCUCAGGAGCAAAUCCAGAUCUACGCAUGACACACACACACCUACACAGAUAUCUACACACAGACACACUGACAAUUCGAUGUUCACACAGACACACUAACAAUUCGAUGUACACACAGACACAUUAGUAUUCAGAAGUACACAAAAACACACAAACAUCUGGUUCUGCACAAAGACACAUUAAUAUUUAAAUGUACACACAGACCCACUAACAAUUAGAUGUACACACAGACACAUCCUGAUGAUCCUCCUCACGUCUCUUCUCCUUGUCUGCAGACCAACAGGACGCCAUCAGGACGCCAUCAGGACGCCACACCAACAGGACGCCAUCAGGACGCCAUCAGGACGCCACGUCAACGGGACGCCAUCAGGACGCCGUCAGGACUCCAUCAAGACGUCAUGUCAACCCCUCAGGAGCAAAUCCAGAUCUACGCAUGACACACACACACACCCACACUCACACACACAGAUCUACUCAGAGACACAAUAUGUAGAUGUACACACAGACACACUAACAUUUGGUUCUAAACAAAGACACACACUAAUAUUUAGAUGUACACAAAGACAUAUUAAUAUUUAGAUGUACACACAGACACUGACAAUUCGAUGUUCACACAGACACACUAACAAUUCGAUGUACACACAUACACACUAACAAUUAGAUGUACACACAGACACACUAACAACAUUAACAUGUUAAUAACUUUUCUUCUUUUCUCUCUUCUCAGGAACUGCUUCAGAUGUUUUCUCAAUGAUUGUGUUAUUAUUAUUGUUAAAUAUGUCGUCUGUUUAUUAUUUU
ensembl:lncRNA